AUGCUUGUCUCAAAGAUUAAGCCAUGCAUGUCUAAGUACGAGCCGCUAGACGGCGAAACCGCGAAUGGCUCAAUAAAUCAGUUAUGGUUCCCAAGAAUGAUUCAAUCCUACUCGGAUAACUGUGGUAAUUCUAGAGCUAAUACGCAACAAAAACUCCGACGCCGGGCUCUCGGGUCCUUGGCGAAAGAGUGCUUUUAUUAGAUCAAAACCAGUGGCCGGUGGCGGCUCUCGGGCCGCCGUCGGCAACAAUUUUUGGUGACUCUGGAUAACCUCAUGCUGAUCGCACGGCCUCCGCGCCGGCGAUAUUUCUUUCAAAUGUCUGCCUUAUCAACUGUCGAUGGUAGGUUAUGCGCCUACCAUGGUUGCAACGGGUAACGGGGAAUA
rnacentral:rRNA from 1 species